GACGAACGCUGGCGGCGUGCUUAACACAUGCAAGUCGAGCGGUAAGGCCCUUUCGGGGUACGACGAGCGGCGAACGGGUGAGUAACACGUGGGUGGACCUGCCCUCCAGCUCUGGGAGUAAGCCUCGGGAAACCGGGUACGUAAUACUGGAUAUGACUCCAUGACGCAUGUUGUGGGGUGGAAAGCCUUGUGCGGCUGAGGAUGGGCCCGCGGCCUAUCAGCUUGUU
rnacentral:rRNA from 1 species